UUGACUUUGUAUUUGGCCUUCUCUAAAAAAAAAAAAAAAAAAAAAAAAAAAAGAGGUGUUUUUAUUUUUAUGGCAGUGUAAGCUCAGAAAUAUUUGAAGAUUUGGGGUCUCUGAGUUGUCCAAAACCUCUCACAGGACCACAUUUCUGUUCUUCAUGUCCUAAACUUUCAUGGAAAAAAAAAGCAUUGUGUUCACACAAGAGAUAUGGUAGGGCUGUGAAUUUUUCUGAUGCUACAAUCCUACAACCGAUAGGAUCUAGUUUGAAGUUUACUGGUUGCAACACAUUAUUAUUUUUUUUUGUCACAGUCAGACAAAAAUUUGGGGAAUGCAUUGAGAAAAUAGUUUAGUUUUCCACCGUUAUUUUUUAACUUAUCCAGCACAAUGUUAAAAGCAAACACCUGAUCUUUAAUUCUUCACAGCCUUCACACUUGAGGACAACAUAACUGAUACCUAAAUCA
rnacentral:lncRNA from 1 species